rnacentral:rRNA from 1 species
AUUGAACGCUGGCGGCAGGCCUAACACAUGCCAGUCGAGCGGAUGAAGGGAGCUUGCUCCUGGAUUCAGCGGCGGACGGGUGAGUAAUGCCUAGGAAUCUGCCUGGUAGUGGGGGAUAACUUCCGGAAACGGGCGCUAAUACCGCAUACGUCCUGAGGGAGAAAGUGGGGGAUCUUCGGACCUCACGCUAUCAGAUGAGCCUAGGUCGGAUUAGCUAGUUGGUGGGGUAAAGGCCUACCAAGGCGACGAUCCGUAACUGGUCUGAGAGGAUGAUCAGUCACACUGGAACUGAGACACGGUCCAGACUCCUACGGGAGGCAGCAGUGGGGAAUAUUGGACAAUGGGCGAAAGCCUGAUCCAGCCAUGCCGCGUGUGUGAAGAAGGUCUUCGGAUUGUAAAGCACUUUAAGUUGGGAGGAAGGGCAGUAAGUUAAUACCUUGCUGUUUUGACGUUACCAACAGAAUAAGCACCGGCUAACUUCGUG